rnacentral:rRNA from 1 species
CCUACGGGAGGCUGCAGUGGGGAAUAUUGCACAAUGGGCGCAAGCCUGAUGCAGCCAUGCCGCGUGUGUGAAGAAGGCCUUCGGGUUGUAAAGCACUUUCAGCGGGGAGGAAGGCGGUGAGGUUAAUAACCUCAUCGAUUGACGUUACCCGCAGAAGAAGCACCGGCUAACUCCGUGCCAGCAGCCGCGGUAAUACGGAGGGUGCAAGCGUUAAUCGGAAUUACUGGGCGUAAAGCGCACGCAGGCGGUCUGUCAAGUCGGAUGUGAAAUCCCCGGGCUCAACCUGGGAACUGCAUUCGAAACUGGCAGGCUAGAGUCUUGUAGAGGGGGGUAGAAUUCCAGGUGUAGCGGUGAAAUGCGUAGAGAUCCGGAGGAAUACCGGUGGCGAAGGCGGCCCCCUGGACAAAGACUGACGCUCAGGUGCGAAAGCGUGGGGAGCAAACAGGAUUAGAUACCCGAGUAGUC